rnacentral:tRNA from 1 species
GCCCCCGUAGCUCAGCGGAUAGAGCACCGGCCUCCGGAGCCGGCGGCGAGGGUUCGAGUCCCUCCGGGGGUACCA